rnacentral:rRNA from 1 species
AGAGUUUGAUCCUGGCUCAGGACGAACGCUGGCUGCGUGCUUAACACAUGCAAGUCGAACGCUGAAGCCCGCAGCUUGCUGUGGGUGGAUGAGUGGCGAACGGGUGAGUAACACGUGAGUAACCUGCCCCCGACUUCGGGAUAAGCCCGGGAAACUGGGUCUAAUACCGGAUAUGACCAACGCUCGCAUGAGUGUUGGUGGAAAGUUUUUUCGGUUGGGGAUGGGCUCGCGGCCUAUCAGUUUGUUGGUGAGGUAAUGGCUCACCAAGACGACGACGGGUAGCCGGCCUGAGAGGGCGACCGGCCACACUGGGACUGAGACACGGCCCAGACUCCUACGGGAGGCAGCAGUGGGGAAUAUUGCACAAUGGGGGAAACCCUGAUGCAGCGACGCAGCGUGCGGGAUGACGGCCUUCGGGUUGUAAACCUCUUUCAGCAGGGAAGAAGCGAAAGUGACGGUACCUGCAGAAGAAGCGCCGGCUAACUACGUGCCAGCCGCCGCGGUAAUAC